GAUUCUGGCUCAGGAUGAACGCUGGCGGCGUGCAUAACGCAUUCAAGUCGAACGAUGAAGGGACUUCGGUCCUGGAAUAGUGGCGGACGGGUGAGUAACGCGUGAGCAACCUGCCUUGCAUUGGGGGAUAACGUUUGGAAACGAACGCUAAUACCGCAUAACGUAUAAAUAUCGCAUGUUAGAUAUACCAAAGAUUUAUUGAUGCAAGAUGGGCUCGCGUCCGAUUAGAUAGUUGGUGAGGUAACGGCCCACCAAGUCGACGAUCGGUAGCCGGACUGAGAGGUUGAACGGCCACAUUGGAACUGAGAAACGGUCCAGACUCCUACGGGAGGCAGCAGUGGGGAAUAUUGGGCAAUGGGCGAAAGCCUGACCCAGCGAACCGCCGCGUGAGGGAAGAAGAUCUUCGGAUUGUAAACCUCUUUCAGCAAGGAAGAAGAAAGUGACGGUACUUGCAGAAGAAGCCACGGCUAACUACGUGCCAGCAGCUGC
rnacentral:rRNA from 1 species